rnacentral:rRNA from 1 species
AUUGAACGCUGGCGGCAGGCCUAACACAUGCAAGUCGAACGAGUGGCGGACGGGUGAGUAAUGUCUGGGAAACUGCCCGAUGGAGGGGGAUAACUACUGGAAAAGGUAGCUAAUACCGCAUACCAUCGGAUGUGCCCAGUGGGGAUUAGCUAGUAGGUGGGGUAACGGCUCACCUAGGCGACGAUCCCUAGCUGGUCUGAGAGGAUGACCGGCCACACUGGAACUGAGACACGGUCCAGACUCCUACGGGAGGCAGCAGUGGGGAAUAUGGCACAAUGGGCGCAAGCCUGAGGCAGCAAUGCCGCGUGUAUGAAGAAGGCCUUCGGGUUGUAAAGUACUUUCAGCGGGGAGGCGUUACUCGCCGAAGAAGCACCGGCUAACUACGUGCCAGCCGCCGCGGUAAUUC